AGAAGAAGAAGAAGAAGAAAAAUACCCUUAGAUCUAAACUUGUUAAUUUCCUCACUAAUGGCUUCUUUAACCCUCUCUAAAUCCUACAGAGCUCGGGCUUAUCACAUUUUUCCGAGACUUUCACUCCCCUAUUUCCUCAGUCCCCUCCAUUUCUGCACUUUAACCCAAGAUACAAUCUCCUCUGUCACAGAAAUCCCGCCACCUAUUCCACAACCCCAAUCCGAAACCGAGUCUCCAAAUGCGGCUCCAGAGAAUCAAAAGCAGCAGCUAAUCCUGCGUGGUAAGCGUCCGGACCCUGAAAAAUUAGAGGAUAUAAUAUGCAGAAUGAUGGCCAGUCGGGCCUGGACGACGCGGUUGCAGAACUCAAUCCGGGAUUUGGUUCCCGAAUUUGACCACUCUUUAGUCUAUAAUGUUCUGCACGGUGCUCGUAACUCUGAGCACGCCCUCCAGUUCUUCAGGUGGGUUGAGCGGGCUGGGUUGUUUCGGCACGACCGUGAGACCCAUACGAAGAUUAUUGAGAUUUUGGGUCGAGCUUCGAAGCUCAAUCACGCUCGUUGUAUUCUCUUGGAUAUGCCAAAGAAUGGGGUUGAGUGGGAUGAGGAUAUGUUUGUAGUGCUAAUUGAGAGUUAUGGUAAGGCUGGGAUAGUUCAAGAAGCUGUUAAGAUAUUUCAGAAAAUGAAUGAAUUGGGUGUGGAGAGGUCAGUUAAGAGUUAUGAUACUUUGUUUAAGGUGAUCUUGAGGAGAGGGAGAUAUAUGAUGGCUAAGAGGUUUUUUAAUAAGAUGCUGAGUGAAGGGAUUGAGCCAACUAGGCACACUUACAACAUUAUGCUCUGGGGUUUCUUCUUGUCAUCGAGGUUGGAAACAGCAAUGAGGUUUUAUGAGGAUAUGAAGACUAGAGGGAUAUGCCCAGACGUGGUUACUUAUAAUACAAUGAUCAAUGGGUAUUAUAAAUUUAGAAAGAUGGAGGAGGCUGAGAAGUUGUUUGUGGAGAUGAAGGGGAAAAACAUAGCUCCUACAGUUAUUAGUUAUACGACUAUGAUUAAAGGGUAUGUUUCUGUAGAUAGAGUGGAUGAUGGGCUGAGAUUGCUUGAGGAGAUGAAGUCAAUUGGUAUUAAGCCUAAUGCUCACACAUAUUCAACUUUGUUGCCUGGGCUUUGUAAUGCUGGGAAAAUGACAGAGGCAAAAGAGAUUUUGAAGGAGAUGGUAGGGAGGCAUCUUGCUCCUAAGGAUAAUUCCAUCUUUAUAAGUUUGUUAUCUAGCCAGUGCAAGGCUGGAGAUUUGAGAGCUGCUGAGGAUGUGCUGAAGGCAAUGAUACGAUUGAGCAUACCGACAGAGGCUGGCCAUUAUGGUGUCUUGAUAGAAAAUUUUUGUAGGGCUGGGGAGUAUGAUUGGGCGAUAAGGUUGUUGGAUAAGUUAAUUGAGAAAGAAAUUAUUUUGAGGCCCCGGAAUACUUUGGAAAUGGGGUCUGGUGCUUAUAACUCUAUGAUUCAGUAUCUGUGCGGUCAUGGGCAAACAGGAAAGGCAGAAAUCUUUUUCCGGCAGUUGAUGAAAAAAGGUGUUCAGGACCCAAAUGCCUUUAAUAAUUUGAUCCGUGGGCAUUCAAAAGAAGGGUCUCCUGAUUCUGCUUUUGAAAUUAUAAAGAUCAUGGCUAGGAGAGGGGUCCCUCGAGAUGCAGAUGCAUACAAGUUGCUUAUUGAAAGCUACCUUAGGAAAGGUGAGCCAGCUGAUGCCAAAACAGCUUUGGAUGCUAUGAUUGAAGAAGGGCAUGUCCCAGAUUCAUCAGUAUUUAGGUCAGUGAUGGAGAGUCUGUUUGAAGAUGGGAGGGUUCAAACUGCUAGCCGUGUUAUGAAGAGUAUGGUGGAGAAGGGGGUGAAGGAGAAUAUGGACUUGGUAGCUAAGAUUUUGGAAGCUCUCCUUAUGAGAGGUCAUGUUGAGGAAGCCCUUGGACGAAUUGAGCUACUCAUGCAUAGUGGGUGUCAUGUCAAUUUUGAUGAUCUUCUGUCUGUUCUUAGUGAGAAAGGCAAGACCAUUGCUGCUGUUAAGUUGUUAGACUUUGCAUCAGAGAGGGACUUUAAUGUAGAAUUUAAAAGCUGUGAUAAAGUGUUGGAUGCUCUCUUAGCUGCAGGGAAGACCCUUAAUGCAUAUUCAAUACUGAGUAAAAUCAUGGAGAAAGGAGGGGUUACAGAUUGGAGUAGCUGUGAGGAUUUGAUUAAAAGCCUUAAUCAGGAGGGGAACACAAAGCAGGCUGAUAUUCUCUCAAGAAUGAUAAAGGGACGGGAGAAAUCUCGUGAAAACAAGAAAGGAAAGAAACAAUCUUCUUUUGCAUUUUAAUUAAAGUGCUUUUAAUUUUUUUUUUUGUUCAUUGGUUAGAAUAUAGUUGAAUGUUCAAUGGAAAAUUAUUACUAGCUUCAUUGAGUAGAAUAAAUUUUGAGAAAAGCAAUGAAAAAUGUUCUGUUUAAUCAUUUUGAAGAUAGGGUGUUAUCCCUUCAAACAGGAAAUAUGUUUCUCUGUUGAAUUAUUUUUGAAGAGUUAGUGAAUUAGGCAGGAUAUUCUCAACUGAGAGAUGGUUCUAAUGCUCAAGGAUUGCAGAUGAUGAAUGGCUGCUGAUCAUAUUUGUUACUAAUAUCAUCCUUGAAAUUAGUUCCUUUUUACACACCGUGAUUGUUAUGUAGUUAUUUUAUUACUUUCUGAACUCUAAAACUGCAAUCAACUAUUAUAUUGUGAUAGCUUGCUGCAGUGGGGUAUAGUUUUUUGCUUAUUUGCCAAGUUCUGAGAACAAAAAAAUUUAUUCCCUCAGAGGCUAGCUUAUUCUUGUCUAACUGCAUUUCAAUAAUCUGUGCUAUAGAUAUGCUGAUUCCUGUGUAGCGGUAGGCUAGAACCAGAGGUGAGCAUUAGUGGAGGAUGCUGAAUAGUGGAAUAAUUGCGUUCUGUGACAUUGGGGUUGCUGUGCCCAUGAAGCAAAAUGACUAUUUUUAUUUUUUUCCUGCUCUGCAUACAAGAUGCACUUGUAUUAUUUUUGGUAUGACAGAAAUCAUAAGAUAUGAAUGUCACAGAAAUAUUAGAUUCACAUGUCACAGAAAUUGAUAUUCACUUUCUGAAAAGUUUGACCUGAAUAUGAAUGCAAGAAAUAUUAUUUUUAAAUAUAUCAAUAAUCUUCAGUGUUUCUAUUUGCAUGGCUAUGUUUCCUUUAUUUUUCGUAUAAUAAUGUAAUUUUCCUUCUAUAUAUGUUUAUAUUAUUCUUACGGCUAAGGAAUGGUUGCAGCAUCCUCUUUUCAAGUAUAAAAAAGAUUUUAUCUAAUUCUGUCUGUAAGUAUCUGGGGUGGUUUUCUACUGUGGCUUCGCUUGGAGGAUAUCAUCUAAUGGUUUGCAUCGCAUCUCAUCAUCGCAAGACGCACAAGUUCCAACCUUCUCCGUCCAAAACCAAAAGCCCAAAAGUUGGUAAAGCCAGAAUAGCAGCCCACGCAACUUCAGUCCAUAGCUUGGGCGUAGCAAUUCAUUAGUUUCCAAACCACAAAAUUAACCUAUCAAAUUGGUACCACAUAGGAGUGCCAAAUAUCAGCACCCAAUCACAAGAUGACUUCUCACAAGCUGCUCAAGAAUUUCAAAGAAGCCACUGGGAACAAGAGCUAGUAAAAAAACCAGACCAAGAUGAGACCUAAAACAGUCCACACCAAAGUUUAUGAGCAAAUGUACAAUCCCUCAAAGUACGUAACACAUCCUCAUUAAGAGCACCACACAGGGCAAAGCACAGCUAGAUCAUUAGCCAUAACACGGACACACCCCAAAUAUUAACUAGGAUCUUGCCUUAGGCAACUAGCCAAAAAAAACAUCCAAGCCCCUUGAAAGAUCAAUUAAACCUCCAAAGAAAACCAUCAUCCUAUUACAUUUAUAUUUCUAAAUUUAAAAUAUAAUUUUCAAAUAAUCAACAUAAAUCAAAACUAAUUAUUAACAUCAAUCUGAUGUCUCAUUAUGCCAUUUGUCAAUGUGCUUCCAAUUAUAAAUAGCUGCAAGUUGAUCUGUACUUUGUGAAACUUGUUUGGUGCAGGAAUUGGAUGGCAGAGCAAUUCGGGUCUCUGUUGCAGAAG
rnacentral:misc_RNA from 1 species